rnacentral:rRNA from 1 species
AGUGAACGCUGGCGGCGUGCUUAAUACAUGCAAGUCGAAGGAAGUGGCGCACGGGUGAGUAAUACAUAGCUAAUCUGCCCCUCGCUUGAGGACAACAGUUAGAAAUGACUGCUAAUACCCCAUAGCAAGGGAUGAGACUAUAUCGUAUCAGCUAGUCGGUGGGGUAACGGCCUACCGAGGCUAUGACGCGUAACGGGUCUGAGAGGAUGAUCGGUUGCGUUGGGACUGAGAGACGAUCCAAACACGUGCGGGAGGAGUGAGUAGGGAAGAUUGAGGAAUGGGGGAAACCUUGACGAAGCAACGCCGCGGGGAGGAUGACACUUUGCGGAACGUAAACUCCGUUUGUUAGGGAAGCGGUACCUAACUAAUAAGCACCGGCUAACUCCGUGCCAGCAGCCGCGGUAAUAC